AGGCAGCUGCUUAACAGUUGUAUGCAUUGGAAACUAUCAGUCUAGAGUGUGGUAGGGAGUUUUGGAAUUUCAUGUGGAGCGGUGAAAUGCGUAGAUAUAUGAAGGAACACCAGUGGCGAAGGCGAAAACUUAGGCCAUUACUGACGCUUAGGCUUGAAAGUGUGGGGAGCAAAUAGGAUUAGAUACCCUAGUAGUCCACACCGUAAACGAUAGAUACUAGCUGUCGGAGCGAUCCCUUCGGUAGUGAAGUU
rnacentral:rRNA from 1 species